UACGGAGGGUGCAAGCGUUAUCCGGAUUCACUGGGUUUAAAGGGUGCGUAGGUGGGUUGGUAAGUCAGUGGUGAAAUUUCCAGGCUUAACUUGGAAACUGCCAUUGAUACUAUCAAUCUUGAAUACCGUGGAGGUCAGCGGAAUAUGUCAUGUAGCGGUGAAAUGCUUAGAUAUGACAUAGAACACCAAUUGCGAAGGCAGCUGGCUACACGAAUAUUGACACUGAUGCACGAAAGCGUGGGGAUCAAACAGG
rnacentral:rRNA from 1 species